rnacentral:snoRNA from 1 species
CGGCGUCCGUGAUGUUCCUCAGUUACCUACAUUGUUCGAGCCCCAUGAGAACAGCCCUGGCUGAGACGCCG